rnacentral:lncRNA from 1 species
GACUGUUGAGUUCCUAGCCUCGUAGGAUCGCUCUGUCAUCCCCUUUCAAGGCUGAAGGACUAUCACGGAAAAGAGGGUGGAAACAACAUAAGAGCUAGAGGAAGAAGCUGUCGAACCCUGUAUUCUGGGUAUGCUGUGUCCACAGCAGUCAUCGAGUGGGGAGUGACUAGCUCCCACAGCACAGAAGGAAAGAAGGGAACGCUCUGGGGCCAUCAGGAUCUCCCUUCUCUUCCAGAUCGGUUACCAGUUACCCUCAAGCAACAUACUUGUGCUAAAGGAAAGCCAUGAGGAAAAGCAGCCUUCCUUAGAGA